CAGCAGCCGCGGGAAAACGAAGGGGGCUAGCGUCGCUCGGAAUGACUGGGCGUAAAGGGCGCGUAGGCGGCCUGCAUAGUCAGAUGUGAAAUUCCUGGGCUUAACCUGGGGGCUGCAUUUGAUACGUGUGAGCUUGAGUGGGGAAGAGGGUCGUGGAAUUCCCAGUGUAGAGGUGAAAUUCGUAGAUAUUGGGAAGAACACCGGUGGCGAAGGCGGCGACCUGGUCCUUUACUGACGCUGAGGCGCGAAAGCGUGGGGAGCAAACAGGAUUAGAUACCCCAGUAGUCCCUGUCUCUUAUAC
rnacentral:rRNA from 1 species